rnacentral:rRNA from 1 species
AUGGCGGCUCAGGGAGGCGAGGCGGCUGCCGGAUCCGACCCCAAGCCCAACGAGGGCUGGAGUGUAGAGCAGACAAGUUCAUCUCAGUACCAACCUUCAGCAUCGGGUCAUCAUGCGUGGUCUUCUUCAAGUGGGGCUUCCUGGAACUAUUCAGUGGAUAAUACAAACCAAAAUGCAGUUUAUUACGAUCCACAAAGGGAUGUCUCAGUUUCAGGGGCUACUCAAAAUGUGACAAAUGGUGCACCUCAUGUGACUCAACCGGCUGUGGGCACAACUAAUGCAACCAAUACUUAUGCACCUUACUCAAAUUCUGUUCAACCUGCCUACAAUGCUGCACAAUAUCCAAACUAUUACCAUAACUAUCCACAACCUGCAAACGAUUCUUCUCUUCACCAAGGAGUAGAUCAAAGUUCAGGUGCUGCAUAUCAGCCUCUUACUUCAUUUCCGAAUUCAGGAUCUUACGUUGGUCCUACAAGUAACACAUAUUAUAAUGCUGGUGCUGAUCAGACUGCGCAAGCAUAUGCCACCAACAACUAUUAUUAUCAAAACCAGGCCUGGUCUGGAGGAAGUUCUGGAGAUGUUCACGCCCAAACAUAUCAGACUUAUGCUCCAUCAGAUACUAAUGCUGCCCAGAGUUCUUGUUCUCUGCCCACCACUUCUUUCCACUAUCCUCAACAGUACAACCAGUGGUCUAAUUAUUAUGACCAGUCUGCACCAAACUCCGGUGCUUUAGCAGUUGCUGGCAACAGUGCUUCUGAUACAAAAUCUCCUAGUGCCGGUUCUGGUUAUACAUAUCCGAGCACCCAGCCGCCUCCACCGGGUACUACCCAACGGAAAAAUGAUGCUGUUGCACCUACUGCACCUCCCCAGGCGGUGGGAAUCACAGGGUUUCAAAGCCAGCACGUCAACCAGGCACCAGGUGCCCCAGGGUUUCAGAGCCAGCAUGUCAACCAGGCACCAGGUGCCCCAGGGUUUCAAAGCCAGCACGUCAACCAGGCACCAGGCGCCCCAGGGUUUCAAAGCCAACACGUCAACCCGGCACCAGGCGUGCAAGGAUUUCAAAGCCAGUAUGUCAACCUGUCACCAGACACUCCAGGAUUUCAAAGCCAGCAUGUCAAUCCGGCACCAGUCACACCAGGGUUUCAAAGCCAGCACUUGAACCAGGCACCAGGCAACCCAGGUUAUGAAAACCCCUAUGCUAACAAGACAGCUGCCGUCUCAGGGUUUCAGAACCAUUAUAUCAACCAGGCACCAGCUUACCAACAAAACUCUACAAGUCAUAGCCAGUUACCAUUAAGUAACCAACGAGAUCAACAGAAAGCUUUGCAUGCGCAAGGUCCAAGCUCAAAUGUUUAUUCAGUCAAUCAUGUUAAUGAAAACUCUCAACCAACUUUGCAGGGUUUUGCGAAAACAGUUGCCAGUGUAAAUAAAGUACACAUCCCGACAAAUCCUCGAAUAGCUCCAGGUUUCCCAAUGUCAAUGCCCCAAACCGGGAAGAAAUUAGAAGCUGAUUCAUCGCUAAAACCUGCUUAUGUUGGUGUUUCCAUGCCCAAGACUGACAUGAAUGCAGCUCAAGAUGGUCAUGGAGCUGCCGUUCAGGGAUCAUUCCCUGUUUCACUUUGUACUUAUGUCGAGCGGAAUCUUUCCCGUUGCAAGGAUGAUGCCCAGAGAUCUGCCACCCAAAGCAUCAUGAAGGAGAUGAUCACCAAGGCAACUGCUGAUGGGACCCUUCAUACUAAGAAUUGGGACAUUGAGCCGUUAUUAGCUUUGCCAGAAAAUGCUAAAGGCACAAAUAUGACAAGCAACGCAAAGGAUUCAAGUCCCUUCUCCUUUUCAACAUCUAGGAGGAGCCCGAGUAGACGUACGAAGAGUAGGUGGGAGCCUGUUGCAGAGGAAAAAGUAACUAACAAGGUGGAGGUUGUUUCGAAAGAGCCAGCAAAAAGUAAUGCCUGCACUACUUGGGAAAAUACUAGAAGAACGGGUAACACUUGGAAUCUUGGAAACUUUGUCCAGUCGCGUCAGCCUCCUACAAGCCAAUGGAAUCAGAGGCCCUCUAAAAAGCAGCGGAUUGGUGGUAAUGCGAAUCUAACAAAAAACGGGAAUGCUUCUAGUGACAGUGAUAAGGAGCAGGAUCUUACGAAAUAUUAUGCCAGUUCAAUUGCACUAACAAAUUCACCGGAGGAGAAGAAGCGACGAGAGCAUAGAUCUAAGCGAUUUGAACGUGGUCAGGGUGCAUCAUCAAAAUCUACGAGUUCCAUACCAUAUAAGGAUGGAGCAGCCAAUGUAUACACAAGGGGAGCCAUUUCAAUGCUUAACAAUAGAAGUAAUGGAGAUGGUGCUAGCUUGGCGGUGGAGGACAUCGACUGGGAUGCACUUACAAUUAAGGGAACAUGUCAGGAAAUUGAGAAACGAUAUCUACGCCUUACAUCCGCACCUGAUCCAGCCACUGUAAGGCCAGAAGAUGUCUUAGAGAAAGCUCUUCACAUGGUUGAAACAUCUGAAAAGAAUUACCUCUAUAAAUGUGAUCAAUUGAAAUCUAUCAGGCAAGACCUUACUGUUCAGAGGAUUCAGAACGAGCUGACUGUCAAGGUUUAUGAAACUCAUGCACGCUUAGCACUUCAAGCUGGAGAUUUGUCCGAAUAUAAUCAGUGUCAAUCACAGCUGACGAGGUUAUACGGUGAAGGAAUCGCUGGCUGUCAUCUUGAGUUCUCCGCUUACAACUUGUUGUGUGUCAUGUUACACUCUAAUAACAAAAGAGACUUGCUUUCAUCCAUGGCAAGCUUGUCAAAGGAGGCCAGGCUAGACGAAACAGUCAAGCAUGCGCUUGCAGUUCAUUCUGCUGUUUCAUCUGGAAACUAUGUCAUGUUCUUUAAAUUAUACAAGAAGGCACCUGGCUUGAACUCAUGUCUUAUGGACCUCUAUGUUGAGCGGAUGCGUUUUGAGGCAAUAAAAUGCAUGUCAAAAUCUUAUCGGCCAACUGUACCUGUGAGAUAUGUUACACGAGUUUUGGGAUUCACAAGAGUUGACGUACUUUGUGAGGCUAACGUAGCUGAUGGUUUAGAAGAAUGUGAGGAAUGGUUAAAAGCACAUGGUGCCGUUCUUGCAGUAGAUGAAAAUAGCGGAGAAUUACAGAUAGACACAAAGGUUUCUUCUGCUUCUCUAUACAUGCCGGAGCCUGAUAAUGCUGUUUCACAUGGUGAUGCAUCUCUUGCCGUAGAUGAUUUUUUGGCGCGAGCAUCAUAA